AGCGAACGCUGGCGGCAGGCUUAACACAUGCAAGUCGAACGGGCAUCUUCGGAUGUCAGUGGCAGACGGGUGAGUAACACGUGGGAACGUACCCUUCGGUUCGGAAUAACUCAGGGAAACUUGAGCUAAUACCGGAUACGCCCUUUUGGGGAAAGGUUUACUGCCGAAGGAUCGGCCCGCCUCUGAUUAGCUUGUUGGUGGGGUAACGGCCUACCAAGGCGACGAUCAGUAGCUGGUCUGAGAGGAUGAUCAGCCACACUGGGACUGAGACACGGCCCAGACUCCUACGGGAGGCAGCAGUGGGGAAUAUUGGACAAUGGGCGCAAGCCUGAUCCAGCCAUGCCGCGUGAGUGAUGAAGGCCUUAGGGUUGUAAAGCUCUUUUGUCCGGGACGAUAAUGACGGUACCGGAAGAAUAAGCCCCGGCUAACUUCGUG
rnacentral:rRNA from 1 species